AUUUGACAAUUCAUACUUUAAGGAGCUCGACAACGUAAAACUUCCCAUGGAAGCCAUUGAUAAAGCUCUGCUUGACGAUCCAGAAUUCCAGAGUCGUGUGCUUCUUUAUGCAACGGAUGAAGAUGCUUUCAAAAGAGACUACGUAGCGGC